AAAGAAGAAUGCAUCAGAUAGAGUUAAGCAAAAUUUCGUGGUUUGGGCGGCCCUGGCCAGUUAAUGGGAUCAAAUGCUUGGUUGACUGAUUGAUUAUUUAUGCAGAAAUCAUCAUUAUGAUAAGAAAAAAGAAGUCGACUCAAAGGUUCCAACGAUACGGGACUUCAGACAGAUGCAAGAAUCCACGGUCUCCCUGGACUUCACUUACCUCUGGCAGGAUCUUCGAAAUCUCUGUUUUACAUUUAAGGAAGCAAGUAUGGACACUGCAAACAGUCUGGAAAUCAUGGGCUGUUGAAGCAGGAAGGAACCCCGUGGACCAUACAGCCAGAGCUUUCGUUUUGCUGCUGAAGAAACUGCCAUUCAGAAAGGUUAUUCGAGGCCACACAGCUGGUCAGUUCAAUAGCCCAAUCUUCAUAUCAGGGUUUCUGAUUCUCAGUUCAACACUCUACGCUCUGCUGUCCUCCUGUGAUAGGAUGAUAUUUGUCUGGGAUUAUUGUAGUUUUAAAAUGGAAAAUCUCAUAUCCUAG
rnacentral:lncRNA from 1 species